rnacentral:rRNA from 1 species
UACGUAGGGGGCAAGCGUUGUCCGGAAUCAUUGGGCGUAAAGAGCGUGUAGGCGGCCUGGUAAGUCCGCUGUGAAAGUCCAGGGCUCAACCCUGGAAUGCCGGUGGAAACUGUCAGGCUCGAGUCCGGAAGAGGCGAGUGGAAUUCCUGGUGUAGCGGUGAAAUGCGCAGAUAUCAGGAGGAACACCAAUGGCGAAGGCAGGUCUCUGGGCCAUUACUGACACUGAGAAGCGAAAGCAUGGGGAGCGAACAGG